GAGUUUGAUCGUGGCUCAGGACAAACGCUGGCGGCGUGCUUAACACAUGCAAGUCGAACGGGCAUUCUUCGGAGUGCUAGUGGCGGACGGGUGAGUAACACGUAGUUGACCUGCCCAAUAGUGGGGAAUAACUGCCCGAAAGGGUAGCUAAUACCGCAUAAGCUCACAUUCGUUGGAGUGUGAGGAAACCUCGGUUCGUAAGGACCUGGGGCUGAUGGAGGGGACUGCGGCGGAUUAGCUAGUAGGCGGGGUAACGGCCUACCUAGGCGACGAUCCGUAGCUGGUCUGAGAGGACGACCAGCCACACUGGGACUGAGACACGGCCCAGACUCCUACGGGAGGCAGCAGUGAGGAAUAUUCCACAAUGGGCGAAAGCCUGAUGGAGCGACGCCGCGUGCGGGAUGAAGCCCUUUGGGUGUAAACCGCUUUUUCAGGGGAUGAUACGCUCGGGUAACCGGGCUAAGACAGUACCUUGAGAAUAAGCAUCGGCUAACUACGUGCCAGCAGCCGCUGUAAU
rnacentral:rRNA from 1 species